UACGUAGGGUGCAAGCGUUGUCCGGAAUUAUUGGGCGUAAAGAGCUCGUAGGCGGUUUGUCGCGUCUGCUGUGAAAACUCAGGGCUUAACCCUGAGCCUGCAGUGGGUACGGGCAGACUAGAGUGCGGUAGGGGAGACUGGAAUUCCUGGUGUAGCGGUGAAAUGCGCAGAUAUCAGGAGGAACACCGGUGGCGAAGGCGGGUCUCUGGGCCGUAACUGACGCUGAGGAGCGAAAGCAUGGGGAGCGAACAGG
rnacentral:rRNA from 1 species